UUAGCUGAGCUUGCGUUACGUUAUUCGUUGCUUUAACUCUACUUUUUUUUCUGAUACGGAAUUAUAAGAUAAAGACAAUGUUCUUGAGGAUAUUGUUCAUCCUUUUGCUGGCGUAUGAGGUCGUAGCUGAGCCAAUAACAUCAGGCAGCUUCUCCCAAGAGUCCACAUCAGACAGCGGCAUCCAGGAGAAAAACAACCUGGAGGACAGAAGAGAACGCACCCACGGACAUCACCACCGCUCUCUCUUAAAGGACGCCGUUGACUGGCUGUCAAAGUGGCUGACCAUCUUUGGAGUCUUCUUGCUGCUG